AGCAGCCGCGGUAAUUCCAGCUCCAAUAGCGUAUAUUAAAGUUGUUGCAGUUAAAAAGCUCGUAGUUGAAUUUCGGGGUUAGUAGGUUGGUCAUGCCACUGGUAUGUACUGGUCUCACUGAUUCCUCCUUCCUGAUGAGCCGUAAUGCCAUUAAUUUGGUGUUGCGAGGAAUCUGGACUGUUACUUUGAAAAAAUUAGAGUGUUUAAAGCAAGCUAACGCUUGAAUACAUUAGCAUGGAAUAAUGAAAUAGGACGUUCGAUCCUAUUUUGUUGGUUUCUAGGAUUGACGUAAUGAUUAAUAGGGAUAGUUGGGGGCAUUAGUAUUCAAUUGUCAGAGGUGAAAUUCUUGGAUUUAUUGAAGACUAACUACUGCGAAAGCAUUUGCCAAGGAUGUUUUC
rnacentral:rRNA from 1 species